GACGUAGGGCGCGAGCGUUGUCCGGAUUUAUUGGGCGUAAAGCGCGCGCAGGCGGUCCUUUAAGUCUGAUGUGAAAGCCCACGGCUCAACCGUGGAGGGUCAUUGGAAACUGGGGGGACUUGAGUGCAGGAGAGAAGAGUGGAAUUCCACGUGUAGCGGUGAAAUGCGUAGAGAUGUGGAGGAACACCAAUGGCGAAGGCAGCUCUCUGGGACGGUACUGACGCUGAGACGCGAAAGCGUGGGGAGCGAACAGG
rnacentral:rRNA from 1 species